UACAUUUAUUAAUCGUGUAAUUUUCAAUAGUACUAAAAUGAGUAUAAGAGUAAUAUAAUGGUAAUAAAAACAAUAUUAUAUUAUUUGUAGAUAUCCAGUUGCCUCGAAGCACGUUUUCAAGCGCAGAAAUCGCCUGUAUUCCGUCAUUCGCUCGCUCGCUCGCAUCGAGCUGUUUCACAGCGACCAAGGCGAACUGCUUCGCUCUCCAACUCGUCAUCGCCACCGCCGUAUAGUCGUGUGCGAAUACUCGCUGAGAUAUCCAGCAUGCAACUCAUAUCUUUCUAGAAUUUUCCCUGCAAAGUCUCCGCUACGCGGUGGUAUCGUCUCGACGAAAAUCUUCCCGCGCUGCGCGCGCGGUGUAAAUCGAACGUUCGAUAACGAACGGUGGCGAGAGCAAGAGAGAACGAGCGAGGCGAGCGGACGAACGAACGAGGGACGAUCUGGCAACCGUGCCAACCGGCAGUGCCGGAAUUGAAUUUCAAGCGCCCGAGGGACAGAGGGGGCGGACCGACCGGCGCGGCUCCGGCGGCCCUUUCUCUUUUGUAUAGGGGGCACGAGGCAUAUAACGGUGAGUCGACGGCUAUGUUGCUGGGGCUUAUACUCAGCCUGUUUGCCUGCCAGCAUGCCAGCUUGCCUGCCUAUCUGUCUGGCCUGCGUGCCUGUGCCUCUAUACUCCAUACAAUCGCUUCUCUGCGCUCCACUCCGUUCCACUCCGCUUGACGGAGCUCCGUCUGGCGGACAGAAAGGAAAAGGUAUUUUAAGGGCGAUCGAAUCUACGAACUCCGACAAUUCAAACCGUUGAAAUUUAGAAACGCACAGCAUUGAAGUUGUUUAGAAAAAAAAAAGAGCAACUGGGCGUCGGAGCGCAGAAAGACACUCCUGAGAAAAGCGACGCUCCCUUUACCUUUGUCGCCCUUUUUCCUACCGUAACUUCACCCGUAUCACUCGAAGUGGACCCGCUGAACACAUGGUGAACCAACGAAGCCCGUACUUAAUUUUGGAGAAAGGAUGAUUCAUAACGAAAUUGCAAUUCUUACGUGAAAAAGGAAUAAUUAUUUUCAAAGUUAACGUGCGACCAUGUGACUUUGGAACUCAAACAACGCGAUAUGCUUCUGUUUUGAUAAAUUGCUGCUCGGCAUGCUCUACUGGUUGGCUCAAAAGAACACAAUCUACAGGUACUCUCCGUCUUUAUCACAUAAGCGGACGCAACUCAGCGAAUACACAGACUGACGUAUCGUUCAAACGCAGCUGCACAAAAUUCACCCUCUGAGAAUCAAGUCUGAUGUGGCUGCCAGGAACAGUCGGGUAUUUCAUUGCGGGACAUCCGUUACAAAGUAUGCGUCCCUGGAGAGAGAUUUACUGUACAACAUUCGCUUUAAAUCUAUUGUUAUCAUAAUUGUAUGAGUUUCUCGAGUCUCCAAUCUUUUAUAUUGAUCAUUAUUAAUAUCAUUAUUAUCAUCAUUAUUAUUAUUUGCGGAUAUAAAAAAGGGCAAAGAUAAUAGCAGCGAGGAAAAUCUGAAAAUUUAUAUUUACGCAUUUAUAUAUACCUGAAAACUGUGUGUAUCUAAACUUCAAAAAUAAACCCUAGGCGUUUUCCCUCUCAAUUUACCGUCCCGAGCAGGAGCUCGACUUGUUUACAAUUUUACACAACAAUGCAACAACUUCAAAGUUUAUAAAAUAUGCAAUAACAAGAUGAUUACAUCAU